rnacentral:rRNA from 1 species
AACGAACGCUGGCGGCAGGCCUCAAACAUGCAAGUCUAGGGGGUGUAGCAAUACAUCACCGGCGGACGGGUGCGUAACGCGUGGGAAUAUACCUAUUGGUUCGGAACAACUGAGGGAAACUUCAGCUAAUACCGGAUACGUCCUUACGGAGAAAGAUUUAUCGCCAAUAGAUUAGCCCGCGUUCGAUUAGCUAGUUGGUGGGUAACGGCCCACCAAGGCGACGAUCGAUAGCUGUUCUGAGAGGAAGAUCAGCCACACUGGGACUGAGACACGGCCCAGACUCCUACGGGAGGCAGCAGUUGGGAAUCUUGGACAAUGGGGGAAACCCUGAUCCAGCCAUGCCGCGUGAGUGAUGAAGGCCUUCGGGUUGGUUAAACGUACUUUACGUCGCACGACGAUAAUGACGGUAGUGCGAGAAGAAGCUCCGGCUAACUUCGUGUCCAGCAGCCGCGGUAA